UGCUCACAGCCUCACACACUAAAACAUCUCAUUCCCUAAACCUAAAACUCACCCUUUCCUUCCUCCAAAAUCAAAACCCAAAACUCAGAUUCUUCCCCCGUCGCCGUCGCUGCUACAGAUGGCCACCACUACGAAUUGCUGCUACAGAUGGCCACCACUCAGAUUCUCACACAACCACCGUCACUUCUCCGGAAACAUUACCAAUACCCAAUUGAAUCUCAUGUUGUUGGAGCUUUCAUCAUGCCUUGCGGCAAUUAAGCACCAGGUUCAGACAUAUUCACUUUAAUCAUUGCUAUCGAGAAGCAAAUCAAUGCGCAAAUGGCCUGGCCAGGAAGGGGUGAAGACGAAUUAUGCGAUGAUUUCUCUGCUUAUAACCAGGCAAAAGGAACUUUUUUUGAUGGAGAAACUUGGUUGUUCCUCCGCGGUAGUGGUAAUUAUGCUUUCAAUGUCUUACUUUUACUGUUU